rnacentral:tRNA from 1 species
GCGGCUGUAGCUCAAUUGGAUAGAGCUUUGGUCUACGGAACCAAAGGUUGGGGGUUCGAAUCCCUUCAGCCGCA